rnacentral:lncRNA from 1 species
AUGCAAUGGCAGGAAGCUAUGACAAGCUGGAACUCAAUCUGUCUCUUAAUGUCUCCAGGCUUGGUAAUGCAGGUGACCUGCAGGGCAUUUUGGCACACUUUCCAUGGAGAUGUCCAUGCACCUGACCUGGGAUUUAGAGAAGAUGAAGAAGGAGGUUCACAAGGCACUAGAAGAGCUGUGAGCCCAAGCUACUGCCCGAACACAAUGAGUCAGCAGAUCUUUCAAAAUAUUUGCUUCACUUCACUCAGUCACUCAAGAGCCCACGAUGUCUUCUCUCAGCUCUUCUUCAGUAGGAGUUCUCAGGAGUUGCUGCACUGUGCUGGUAAAUCCACUUCCUCUCCUAGGAUAGCCCCAUGACAAGGAACCCGCCUCAGUUCAUUCCUGAAGGCCAGCAGGACGUUGGAGCAACUGGGGUAGCUGCUUCUUUUUGACUGCAGCCUUUUGAAGGACCUUACUGAAAUUCCCACCUCUGGAGUCAAACUGUGAAAAGACUGUGCAUAGCUACUUCUUCAUCUCCUUACAAUAACUGAAGGAGAUCAAGUCCCCAGACAUAAGUCUAUGCUUUCUCUCCUGACAGAUAGGCUUCUGCCAACUAUUUCUAAUUGUCUUUCUGGUCUUAUCUUCCCAAGAAGAAUCCCAAGAGCACUCUGCUGUUGCUGGCUUCCUCCCUAUUUCCUCCCUAUUGCCUGGUAAAUUCUUGCUCCAAGCAUUUUCUGACCUGUUUCUACAGCUGAGAAUACUCUACUUUCCUCUUCCCAGACAAGCACCAUUUCUAACUUCAGAGUACAACUCAAAAGUUACCUACUAUGUGACUUCUCCUUACCUCCAAUCCCAGAAAUUUCCCCUUUACUGCCCACAUUGUACAUCUCCUCCGUAAGCAUUGUCUAUUCUUCCCCUGAGGUCGGAAAUUGGGUCAGGCAUACACUUUGGAUCCCCCAGUGCUCUAACAAUCAGAAAUUGUUUCCUAAUUGACAUGUGCAUGAGAUAUGUUGAAGCCUAAACAUUAUCCUGUAAGGGAAAUAGGGGCUGAUGUUUUCAACUAUUUUAAACAUAGAAAGCCAAUAUGUGGAUGAAGAGAUUUGUUCAAAGUCAAAUAGACACUUGCCUCCACUUCUUCCUAAAGUAGCAUUAAAAUAAAAGAAUAUCUCAAUUAACAUGUUGAGGAUUGUAGAUUCAUAUAUUGCCUGGGAGUACCCAAACCUGAAAUUAGUAAAUUAACUACUUUACCAAUGUGGUUAUGGCAAAAUCAAUAAGGAACAAAUUGCUUUUACAGAUAACACUUUGAUUGCUGGAUCUCUUGAAAAAUAUGGAAUCAUUUGCAUGGACGAUCUGAUUCACGGGAUCUAUACUGUUGGAAAAUGCUUCAAAGAAGCAAAUACCUUCCUGUGUCCCUUCAAAUUAUCCUCUCCACAAGGUGAAAUGAAGAAAAAGACCACCCAUUUUGUAAAAGGUAAAGAUGCUGGCAACAGGGAGGACCAGAUUAACAGGCAUGUUUAGAAUGAACUAAGGUGUUUUCCGUAAUUACUUUUCUAAUCUGGUCAGUUAAUAAACAGUACAUGCUCUCAGAAAAAAAAUAAAAAUAAAAAUAAAUAAAUAAAUAAAAGAAUAUAAAAGAUAUAAAACUAUAAUGACAUAGAAAAUGAAAGCAGUAUUACAGCAGACAAGAGGUAAUCAAUGGAAUUUAGGGAAUAAAAAGCAGAUAAUUGAGUGGUUACUAAAAUCCACCUGCCAGUACAGGGACUGUGGAACCCAUGGAUGUCAACUGAUUUAACAGUACAACCCAGUGUGUAUCUCAACACCCUCCAGUCAUAGAGAUGAGAGGGUAUUGUGUAUCUCAAGGCUGGUGCAGGAUUAGCCUGAAAAUAGGAAGAUUGUCUGACACUUAUGUAAGAAGUAGACCCCAGACUCUCCCCUUAGCCCAUAUAGUCAAGCAAUUGCCUUUGGUCCAUUCAGGCACAAACGGGUUUAUUUUUCAGAGAUGCUGGAGGACACCGGGCUCAGUUGAAGGCAGGGGUGAGGCAUUAAAAGAAAAACAAGGUGGCAUAAAUAAACACAUGCACAUGAAACAGUGAAAUCCACCAUCUUCCCCUGUUCAGCAGCCAAAAUGCCAGGAGCCAGACUUGUAUUCCCGAGGCAGCGGACUGGAGAAUUAGAACCCCUCUCAGGGGAUUCUGAUCUUCCCCAAGGGAAAAAAAAUCUUAAGUUGGGAACCCAGUGAAACAUCUAGGUCCUCACCCAACAACCCCAAGGCAAACCUACCAUUGGCAAACCCUCCUUCCCCCAGUAUCACAGGUAGUAAAUGUACCUACAAGUUCAAAUAAGAUUUUUAGGGUUUGAACUUAAAACUGAGUCUGUCCCAUUUACUUGCACUAAGACAUUUGUACUAAGUUUCUAUUAUGAGUUCAAACAAACAAACAAAAAACUAAAGCAAAAAGGAAAAAGAAAUAACCCCAGGAGAAGCAGAAGCUAUUGAGAAAUCAGAAAAAAAAAAACAAUUAAAUCUGAGCUGUAAGAAAAGAUAUUGAAUCUGUGCAAAAAGAGUGCUAUUAACAGGAGGAGCAAACAAGAAAAUCUCUUAAACUAGAAAUAUUAUAGCACUUAAA